GACGAACGCUGGCGGCGUGCCUAAUACAUGCAAGUGGGACGCAAGGGAACACACUGUGCUUGCACACCGUGUUUUCUUGAGUCGCGAACGGGUGAGUAACGCGUAGGUAACCUGCCUAUUAGCGGGGGAUAACUAUUGGAAACGAUAGCUAAUACCGCAUAAUAUUAAUUAUUGCAUGAUAAUUGAUUGAAAGAUGCAAGCGCAUCACUAGUAGAUGGACCUGCGUUGUAUUAGCUAGUUGGCAAGGUAAGAGCUUACCAAGGCGACGAUACAUAGCCGACCUGAGAGGGUGAUCGGCCACACUGGGACUGAGACACGGCCCAGACUCCUACGGGAGGCAGCAGUAGGGAAUCUUCGGCAAUGGACGAAAGUCUGACCGAGCAACGCCGCGUGAGUGAAGAAGGUUUUCGGAUCGUAAAGCUCUGUUGUAAGUCAAGAACGUGUGUGAGAGUGGAAAGUUCACACAGUGAC
rnacentral:rRNA from 1 species